GAUGAACGCUGGCGGCAUGCCUAACACAUGCAAGUCGGACGGGAAGAGAUUUUUCCAGUGGCGGUAGGGGGAGCAACGCGCGAGAACCUGCGGUAGGGAGGGGAACAACAUUUGGCAACGGCUGCUAAUAACCCGAAGGCACGGGAGCAAAAGAUGGAAUCUACCGGAGGAGGGGCUGGGGUCUGGUUCGCUAGGUGGUUGGGCAAUGGCUUACCAAGGCGAUGAUCAGUAGCUGGUCCGGGAGGAUGAUCAGACACACUGCGACUGAGAGACGGGCCAGACUGGGACGGGAGCACGCACUGGGCACUAUCGGACGAUGGGCGUAAGGCAUAUUCAGCAAUGGCGCGUGGGUUAAGAAGGCCUUGGGGUGGGGAAGUAGAUGUCCUGCGGAACGUAAGCUUCUUUUCCCGGACACGAUGCAAUGACGGUACCUGAAGAAUAAGCAUCGGCUAACUCUGUG
rnacentral:rRNA from 1 species